rnacentral:rRNA from 1 species
UACGGGGGGGGCAAGCGUUGUUCGGAAUUACUGGGCGUAAAGGGCUCGUAGGUGGCCAACUAAGUCGGACGUGAAAUCCCUCAGCUUAACUGGGGAACUGCGUCCGAUACUGGAUGGCUUGAGUUUGGGAGAGGGAUGCGGAAUUCCAGGUGUAGCGGUGAAAUGCGUAGAUAUCUGGAGGAAUACCGGUGGCGAAGGCGGCAUCCUGGACCGGCAUUGACGCUGAUGAGCGAAAGCGUGGGGAGCAAACAGG